CAAACAUGUUUAGAGAUGCUAAUACUGGUUCACUCAGCUGGAGGAAAUAGGGCUCUAAGGGAUAGUUUAAGAUCUUCUUGGGCCAAACAAUCCCAUAAUACGAGGGAGACUUUGAGGACACUUACAGAAACUUGACGAUAAAACAUCUUCUGGGAUUCAGGUGGACGGAUGAAAGCUGUAGUGAUGUUAGAUAUGUACUUAAAACUGAUGAUGAUGCUUUUGUCGAUUUUC